rnacentral:rRNA from 1 species
UGAGGAUUUGAUCCUGGUCCAGGACGAACGCUAGCGACGUGCUUUAAGCAUGCAAGUAGAGCGAGCCCGCAAGGGCAAGCUGCGAACGGCUGAGUAACACGUAGGAACCUACACUUUGGUGGGGUACAGCUCGCCGAAAGGCGGGGUAAUACCGCAUGACCUCGUGCUUUGCACAAGGAAAUUACGAAUAACACAAUAAAUUCCAAAUAACAAAUUACAAACAAUUAUCAAUUAAUAAAUAACAAAUAAUUAACAUUGUUUUUUUCAUUGAAAAUUGGAACUUGAAUUUUGUUUGUAUAUUGGAAUUUGUGAUUUGUUACAAGUGAUUUUCUCGCGCAGAGUGCGAGAAAAGGAUGUAACUGUCCGCCGAAGAAGGGGCCUGCGGCCUAUCAGCUUGUUGGUGGGGUAACGGCCUACCAAGGCUACGACGGGUAGGGGGCGUGAGAGCGUGUUCCCCCAGAAUGGGACUGAGACACGGCCCAUACACCUACGGGUGGCAGCAACUGGGAAUCGUGCGCAAUGGACGAAAGUCUGACGCCGCGACGUCGCGUGUGGGAUGACGGCCUUCGGGUUGUAAACCACUUUUGCCAAAGAGUGAUUACUUUGGAGAAUAAGCACCGGCUAACUACGUGCCAGCAGCAGCGGUAAUACGUAGGGUGCAAGCGUUGUCCGAAUUUAUUGGGCGUAAAGAGUUCGUAGGCGUUUCCUUACAUCUUGUUUCAAAUACCGGAGCUCAACUUCGGGAAGGGGCAAGAGAUGGAGGAAAUUGGAGAGUGCAGGGGCUACUGGAACUUGCGGUGUAGGAGUGAAAUCCGUUGAUAUCGUAAGGAACACCGAGGGCGAAGGCAAGUAGCUGGGCACACCUUGACGCUGAGGAACGAAAGCUAGGGUAGCGAAAGGGAUUAGAGACCCCUGUAGUCCUAGCCGUAAACGAUGCUCGCUAGGGAUUUGCCACGCAAAGGAUAUGUCCUUUGCGGGAAUUUCUAAGCACAAAUAUCUAAAUUCUAAGUAAUAUCCAAUUUCCAAUUUUCCAAAUUCAAAACAGACUAAAGUGUUAUGUAUUUGGAGUUUGGAAUUCGAGAUAUUUGAAUUUGUUUAGGAUUUCGAAUUUGGGAUUUAGAGUUUCCACGCAAAAACGACACAUUUUUUGCGUGGUGAGUCCCGUAAGCUAACGCGUUAAGCGAGCCGCCUGGGGAGUACGAGCGCAAG